rnacentral:rRNA from 1 species
CAGAGGUGGCAAGCGUUGUUCGGAAUUACUGGGCGUAAAGGGCGCGUAGGCGGCCUUCUAAGUCAGACGUGAAACUCCCCCGGCUUAACCUGGGAACUGCGUCUGAUACUGGGAGGCUUGAGUAUGGGAGAGGGAUGUAGAAUUCCAGGUGUAGCGGUGAAAUGCGUAGAUAUCUGGAGGAAUACCGGUGGCGAAGGCGGCAUCCUGGACCAUAACUGACGCUGAGGCGCGAAAGCUAGGGGAGCAAACGGGAUUAGAUACCCCGGUAGUCCUAGCCCUAAACGAUGAAUACUUGGUGUGGCGGGUAUCGAUCCCUGCCGUGCCGAAGCUAACGCAUUAAGUAUUCCGCCUGGGGAGUACGGUCGCAAGGCUG